rnacentral:rRNA from 1 species
GAAGGCGCUCUCCUAGGACGGGUCCGACGGUGAGGGACGAAAGCCAGGGGAGCAAACCGGAUUAGAUACCCGGGUAGUCCUGGCCGUAAACGAUGUGGGCUUGGUAUUGGGAUGGCUACGAGCCGUUCCAGUGCCGUAGGGAAGCCGUUAAGCCCACCGCCUGGGGAGUACGGUCGCAAGGCUGAAACUUAAAGGAAUUGGCGGGGGAGCACUGCAACGGGAGGAGCGUGCGGUUUAAUUGGAUUCAACGCCGGAAAGCUUACCGGGGGAGACUGCCGUAUGUGGGCCAGGCUGAAGACCUUGCCCGAACAAUAGGCAGAGAGGUGGUGCAUGGCCGUCGUCAGCUCGUACCGUAAGGCGUUCUGUUAAGUCAGGUAACGAGCGAGACCCCCGCCCUUAGUUGCCACCCGUCCCUCCGGGGACGGAGCACACUAAGGGGACCGCUGGCGAUAAGCCAGAGGAAGGAGGGGGCAACGGUAGGUCAGUAUGCCCUGAAUCCCCCGGGCUACACGCGCGCUACAAAGGCUGGGACAAUGGGUUGCGACCCCGAAAGGGGAAGCUAAUCCCUAAACCCAGUCGUAGUUCGGAUCGAGGGUUGAAACCCACCCUCGUGAAGGUGGAUUCCGUAGUAAUCGCGGGUCAACAUCCCGCGGUGAAUAUGCCCCUGCUCCUUGCACACACCGCCCGUCAAGCCAAGCGAGUUGGGUCUGGGUGAGGGCUUGCUGUCAUGGCAAGCUCGAACCCAGGCUCAGCGAGCGGGGCUAAGUCGUAACAAGGUAGCC